ACAUUUAAACCCAAAAGAAUCGAUUCCAAUACCACACACACACACUCAACAACAAUGGCACCCAUCACUACCUUCUUCUUCAUCUUCAUCACCUCGAUUUCUUCCAUCUUUGAUUUUGCUCGUCGACACCCAGUCCAUGUUACUUACAGUCCUCUUGGAAAUGCUUAUCUUCAUUUUGGCGUGAUGCAUCUUUUCUGAAAUACUUCACUUCAGUUUAUAGCUAGCCAAAAUUAAGAUCUUUGGACCGAGUUUUUAUGGUGACUUUAGUGGCUCAAAUCAAGUAUCCAUGAUCGUCUAAUCGUGAUCUUCAGAUCGGGAAUCCGAGUAUAAAUACGUCAUACGUUGAUAUUCAAAUCCCAGGUUCUUUAACGUAGUUUAUUUUCAAAACACGUACACGUCGGGUUAAUCUUCUGCUGGAUUAUAAAAAUUAAUAUCAAGCUUAAUUUGUAUAAGUUGGUGUUCACGAAAUGGAUUCUGUAUUUUUCUUUUAGUGUUGUAUUUUGAAAUACUUAUUUUCGACGCUAACUUAAACCAUUAAGUAUCCAAGUAAUUCGUAUGUAGAAAUGGGUGUAUGAACGUAAAUGAAAAAAAAAUGGUAAUUAACUAUUUGAGCGUAUUGUUUUUAAUAUUAACUUUUGGUCAAUAUAAUAUUAAUGCUAAAAAAUAACAAUAAAGUAAUGUGUAUACACACAUGUGAGUGAGUAUUUGCAUCCACAUCUUUGUUUUUAUAAAAUCAUAUUCAUUUACAAUAGUAAUAAUUUUGCUUCUAGUUGUUAUUUGAAAUUUGACUUGUAUGAUCUUUUGUUAACAAUAUUUAUUUCUUUGGUAUAACAAUUUUCAUCUUCAUUUGUUAAAGUUUCUGUUUUCUGUUUUUUCACAUCCAAAUGUUUUCUAAACAACAUUUUAUCAUUUUAGAUUUGGUUAUAAUUCAAUUAAAACAAAUAAACACUCAUAAUGAAAAAAACUAAGUAAAAAACAAUAACACCGUGAGCCUAUGAUGUCGAUCGGGUGGUGGUGGUAGUGGUGGUUGUGGUGGCAGGUGGUGGUGGUGACAGUGGUUGUGGGUGUUGGUAGUUAUGGUGGUAGAGGGUAAUAUAGUUUUCUUGCACUUUCCCUCAUGAAUUGAAAUUAAUUUCCUCCAAACUUAAUAGGAAUUCACUUUUAUUCAUAUGGUGGAGAGUUUUUUCAUUUAAGAAUUCAAUUUCAUCUCAAAAAGUUGAACCAAAGAUUGGAAUGGGUGAUAUUGGAUUCCGAUUCCCCCAAUUACAUUACAUUCCAGCAAAAGCAUAUUAGUGUUUGCAAUUCCAUUGUACGACAUGUUAAAAUAAUAAGAUUAUGUCAAAAUUAAAGGUUAUCCACUAGGAAAGAAGCUACAAGGAUUAAGGCAUAUGUCAACAUCUUAAUUAUUCAAAAAAAAAAAAACACCUUUCAAAAUUCAGAAUAUUAAAAAAACAAACCCCAGUUAUCCUUUUCAUUUUCAUUUACAAAAGCAGGUAGUUGAAAUCGAAUUUAAAGGCAAUAAAGUUCAAAUACACACAGCAAAUUGAAGCAGGUAGUUGAAAUUUAUUGUAAAGGCCAGGAAUAUCAUGAAACACACACACACAAAAACACAGUACGCACUUGAUCAAUUAGCUCUCAACAAUGGCACCAAUCGUCACGUUUUUGCUCAUUUUCAUCACCUCGAUUACUUCAAUCCAUCACUCUGCUCGACAAUACUUGAUCCAUAUUGCUAACAAUCCUCUUAUUGGUAAUGCUUAUUUUCAUUUUGAUGCUAUACAUCCUUUCUGAAUUAAAGCCAUGUAUUUGGUUUAUCACCAAAAAAACAUCUUUCCACAGUUUUUUGUUGGUGAUGUCGAUGGCUCAUGUUAGUGUAACACCAACCAUCCGCCUCGUCUUGAUCUUGAGAUCAAGAAUUUGAGUAUAUAUGAUUGAUCUUCAAAUACCAUAUAAUGUAAUUGUUUUUAAGUUAAGGUUAAUUACUUAUCUUUUUUUUUUUGCUCUAUUGUUAAUUUGUACACGAUUUUCAAUUCUCACACUGUUAUCCUCCCUUGUUUGGCGCACCAUGAAAGGACUUCUAUGGAAGUGGCAUGUGGUGGUGAGGUUAUCUACGUACAACCUCUCCUCUACCAUAAUUUUGUUAUGGAUUUAUGUGUAGUUGUAAACUGAUGGAAAAUUAAUGCAACUGUGAUAUACAGAAUAAAAAUUACGACCAUAUAUAGUCAUUUUGUAUCUUUAAAAUAAAAUAAAAUGUGAGUCAAGACAUUCAUCUAUAUCCAUUGACAUGUUAAAUGGCACUUGCUCCUAUACGGAUUGUGGAGGGAAGCUUUUGUAUGCAACACUUUUCUUGCUUUCUUUAAAAGAAGCGACUAUUGCAUUGCAAAAAGGUCCCUUAGUUUUGCAAGGAUUGGGUUUGGGAAUGGGAAUCAUGCAAGAUAAAGAGACGAAACAACCUUUGAUAGAAAGACAAAACAAUCUUUUUAUUCCAUGUCAUGAAGUACUAAAGAGCUUUUGGCCUAACCUAUCAAAGCAUUUGAAAAUGUGUUUUCUUAUAUGAAGUUGAGGGUAAUAGUUUAAAAAUAAGAUUCAAAAGGUGUUUGAUAUCUGUUAAGGAAAUCUAUAUUGUUAUUUUGUCUGAUUUUCGUCUUGUAAGAACACGAAACACAACAAGUAUUCUUUAUUUGAGAUUCGAAUUAGAACCGUAAUUCUAAUUUUUUUAUUGUCUCAUAAUCGAAUUCGUGUAACUCUAAAUAUAAAGUCGAAUAUCAUAUUUCAUAAAGCAUUAUAACUCGAUCGAAGAAACUAUCCAAACAUUUAUUGUUAUUCGAAUCCUUAAAUCUAACACAAUUUUUAUAGGGGUUGAUUAAAAAGACACUCAAUUUUAUCAUUUAGACACUCUGUAUAAUUUUUAAAAUAUUUUUAUUGAUUGAAAUUGUAUUGUUUUUUGAAAAAGUACUUAUAGGUUGACUAUCUGUGAAUGGGAUAAAGAGAUGUCUUAAUAGGAACAGGUUUCUAUUUACUCAUUUGUCAAUAAAUAAAGAUGGACUGAUAGAUGAUUAAUGAAUCGAUAGAUAAAGGACAUGACUUCUUGCUUCAUUAUCCUUUUCGUUGGCUAUAACGUGUUGAGAGACCAUUUAUAAAAUCAUUAAGUAGCAAAAACGGAGAAAAUUUCAAACAUAAGGGAACAAACGAACAAAUUAUUCAUUUGUUUGCUCCAGUUUUUCAAAAUUCCCAAACAAAAUAAAACCCUAAAAUCAUAAACAUCUAUUCAAUUUUAUUUCAUUUUCUUGGUUUCUACUGAGAUAGAGAGAUGCAUCUAUGGCCAUCGAAGACAUUGAGGGCUUCGUUCAAGUUAGAGUACUUGAAUAAUCUUGAAUGGAACUUACGGAGGAUGAAAAGUGAGAAAAAUAACAAGAAUCAAUCUUCGGGGAGCAGCAACGAGGAGAAAUUGUUGAGUGAUGAUACCAGUAGUCAGAAUCGAAAUAGUAUGAAUUGUUCUCGUGCUUGUGGUGCUGUUCUCAGGGAUCUUCUUAUCAUCUUCUCUUGCUGUUACUGCUGUGGAGCUUGUACUGAUUAGUGAGUGAUAUGCUGACCAUGGAAAGUGGAAACAGCUUUGUACAAACAAGAUUUUAGAUGAAAUGAUAGAGGGUCGUAUGUUAGUCUUCUUCAGACCUCCUUGGUGAAAGUAAAACUCUUAAUCUGGGAGAUGACCAGAUGUGAAUGCUAUUGAUUUUGCAAUUACAAUGAAUGUAUAAAGGUCUAUUUUGUUAAUACAGUUCUUGACUUGAAAUUUGAUCAUUGCCCA